GACGAACGCUGGCGGCGUGCUUAACACAUGCAAGUCGAGCGGAGCGGCGAACGGGUGAGUAACGCGUGAGUAACUGCCCCCCUCUCUGGGAUAAACGUUGGAAAAGGCUGCUAAUAACGGAUAGUGGGGGAUGACUCGCGUCCUAUCAGCAUGUUGGUUGGGUAGUGGGCUACCAAGGCGACGACGUGUAGCCGGCCUGAAAGGGCGACCGGCCUCAGUGGGCUGCGAUACGGCCUAAACUCCUACGGGAGUCAGCAGUGGGUAAUAUUGCACCAGGGGGGAAACACUGAUGCAGCAACGCGCGGGCGGGAUGACGGCCUUCGGGUUGUAAACCGCUUUCAGCCAUGACGCGGUAGUGGCAGAAGAAGCACCGGCUAACUACGUGCCAGCAGCCGCGGUAAUAC
rnacentral:rRNA from 1 species